rnacentral:lncRNA from 1 species
AUUCACUCAAGAUUCUUCUCUGUACUACUCUUACCUAAGAUGAAUCACAAAAGAACAUGUUGAUUGGGCGGAGGAGGAAGGUGGAUGGUUUUAUAAAUGAAGAUGGACUAUAAUAUUAUAAUGUUGUGCUUUUAUUAUGUAUCACAAAAGAAAAAAUUAUCACUAAAGAAGGAGUAGGAAGAAGAAUCUGUGGUCCCUUCAAUUAAUGUAAUGGGGAUCUCAAUUAGCUACAAGAGAGAGUCAGUCGUGCCUGGGCUUGUCUGUUGAAUUGGUGGGAGCAGCUGCCAGAAGCCUGUUUGCAUAUGGAUUGAGGGUCCUCUUGGGAGUGUUCUCAUUCUGAAGGAAGAAGUUGCCUGGCAACAAGAGUUUGACCCAUGGAGACAGCUUUACCCAACAGAGGAGCAAGAAAGCCUGAGUACAGUGUGGUGUCUGUCAUCUAGAUCUGUCUCCCGGCUGGAUGACAUGAAUAUAUGCCUAAGUGCCACAGAGAGUGGGGAGGCUAAAUGGACCAAGUAGAGAAAAAUAAACCUGCUUUACUAAUAUCCAUUUAAAACGGAGUACAAUGCAAUGCUUCAAGAUCCAUCUGAUAGACUAAAAUCCAAAUGGAAGGGAAGUGUUUUCCCCUUUCUUACUAAAAAUCAGUUUGGGUAUGGAGAUGUCACCAAAGCAUUCAUUAUAGUGUGUAUCAGAGCAGCGACAGUACCCGGAGAAGACUUUGAUGCCCAGUGAAGCAUUAAAAAUCAAUACCCAUAGGAUGUGGUAGUAUCCGGUGAUACUAAUUGGGAUAUGUCUGCACCUGCUCCUGAACUUUUCAUACACAUCAAGAUGAUAGGUGAGCGGAGAGCUUGAGUAGCUACAGAAGCUAGCUGAAGGCCAACAGCUAGUGAACACAUAAAGAGAACGGUUUUAGAAUGGAAAGGCCUUACUCCUUUCUCUGACGCCAAGCUAAUGUAACUAUCUCUGAUGACAGCAAGUGAAGACUAAACCAUGACCAUUAGCGUGAUUUACUUCACACACACCUGGUCCCCAAAACUACUACCUGUCCUCUCUAGUGACUGAGAGAGUAGGUCUCUAGUAUUGUGAAUAAUUUAUCCUUAAUGCAAUGUUAUUUAUCUCAGCUUGUAACACCCUGCAUUGUGCAUGUUAGACUCAAUAAAUACUUAUUUCAACUUAACCAAUUUUUCAUAUAUUUUGAACCAUAUUUAGGACUCUAUCCUAACAAAAUAUUUCUAAAUAUCACAAAAACCAAAAUUAUGCCAAAGGAUGUUCCCCAUAGCAUUAUGUGUGGUAUAAAAAUUAUUGGAAAUAAUCUAAAUAUGCUAAUAUAGGAAAUUAUUAAAAUAAGUACAGGUCCAUUCAGAUGAUGAAAUACUAUACAGCCAUGCAAUUUUUUGCA